rnacentral:rRNA from 1 species
GACGAACGCUGGCGGCGUGCCUAAUACAUGCAAGUCGAGCGGACUUGACAGAGCUUGCUCUAUUCAAGUUAGCGGCGGACGGGUGAGUAACACGUGGGCAACCUGCCCUGCAGAUUGGGAUAACUCCGGGAAACCGGGGCUAAUACCGAAUAACAUUGAAAACCUCAUGGUUUUCUUUUAAAAGGCGGCUUCGGCUGUCACUGCAGGAUGGGCCCGCGGCGCAUUAGCUAGUUGGUGAGGUAACGGCUCACCAAGGCAACGAUGCGUAGCCGACCUGAGAGGGUGAUCGGCCAAACUGGGACUGAGACACGGCCCAGACUCCUACGGGAGGCAGCAGUAGGGAAUCUUCCGCAAUGGACGAAAGUCUGACGGAGCAACGCCGCGUGAGUGAAGAAGGUUUUCGGAUCGUAAAACUCUGUUGUUAGGGAAGAACAAGUAUCGGAGUAACUGCCGGUACCUUGACGGUACCUGACCAGAAAGCCACGGCUAACUACGUGCCAGCCGCCGCGGUAAUAC